AUUGAACGCUGGCGGCAUGCCUUACACAUGCAAGUCGAACGGUAACAGGUCUUCGGAUGCUGACGAGUGGCGAACGGGUGAGUAAUACAUCGGAACGUGCCUAGUAGUGGGGGAUAACUACUCGAAAGAGUGGCUAAUACCGCAUGAGAUCUACGGAUGAAAGCAGGGGAUCGCAAGACCUUGUGCUACUAGAGCGGCCGAUGGCAGAUUAGGUAGUUGGUGGGAUAAAAGCUUACCAAGCCGACGAUCUGUAGCUGGUCUGAGAGGACGAUCAGCCACACUGGGACUGAGACACGGCCCAGACUCCUACGGGAGGCAGCAGUGGGGAAUUUUGGACAAUGGGCGCAACCCUGAACCAGCCAUGCCGCGUGCAGGAAGACGGCUCUAUGAGUUGUAAACUGCUUUUAAACAGGGAUAAAGCACAGUAUGUAUACUGUGUUGAAGGUACUGUAAGAAUAAGGAUCGGCUAACUCCGUGCCAGCCGCCGCCGUAACAC
rnacentral:rRNA from 1 species